rnacentral:rRNA from 1 species
UACGUAGGGUGCAAGCGUUGUCCGGAAUUAUUGGGCGUAAGGAGCUCGUAGGCGGUCUGUCGCGUCUGCUGUGAAAACUCAGGGCUUAACCCUGAGCUUGCAGUGGGUACGGGCAGACUAGAGUGCGGUAGGGGAGACUGGAAUUCCUGGUGUAGCGGUGAAAUUCGUAGAUAUCGGGAGGAACACCGGUGGCGAAGGCGGCGACCUGGGUAGAUACUGACGCUGAGGCGCGAAAGCGUGGGGAGCAAACAGG